rnacentral:rRNA from 1 species
GACGAACGCUGGCGGCGUGCCUAAUACAUGCAAGUCGAACGAGAGCGACCGGUGCUUGCACUGGUCAAUCUAGUGGCGAACGGGUGAGUAACACGUGGGUAACCUGCCCAUCAGAGGGGGAUAACAUCCGGAAACGGAUGCUAAAACCGCAUAGGUCUUCGAACCGCAUGGUUUGAAGAGGAAAAGAGGCGCAAGCUUCUGCUGAUGGAUGGACCCGCGGUGCAUUAGCUAGUUGGUGAGGUAACGGCUCACCAAGGCCGUGAUGCAUAGCCGACCUGAGAGGGUGAUCGGCCACAUUGGGACUGAGACACGGCCCAAACUCCUACGGGAGGCAGCAGUAGGGAAUCUUCCGCAAUGGACGCAAGUCUGACGGGGCAACGCCGCGUGAGUGAAGAAGGUUUUCGGAUCGUAAAACUCUGUUGUUAGAGAAGAACAAGUGCUAGAGUAACUGUUAGCGCCUUGACGGUAUCUAACCAGAAAGCCACGGCUAACUACGUG